CCUUUGUUAUUUUUCUUCGAAAUAUAUUGAAUUUCUCUCAAUCCAAGACCCAUUUGUUCUGCGCAGCAUUUCCUUCUGCAGGAUACAAGGCCCUAUUCAGUUCAUAGACACUAUUUUCGGAUCAUGGGUUCACAGGAUCCUGUUCUGGCUGACAAGGCUAAUGUAACGGAGGCCUCAGUGCGCGGAUGACCCAUGCAUGAGAAGAAUGAGAUCAGAGAGGAGGAUAAUUCUGCUGGCAGAGUCUCGUGCUGACGAUCACCACGAAUGGCUUACUUAUUGGAUUUAAUUUUCUCUGAUUACACUGUUUGAACUGAUAACCAUUGCCGAAGCCAUUGAGUGGUAAUUCUUUUUCUUUUUCAAAAUGUAGUUCCUAUGUUUUAUUUCACUUAUUUAUAUAUGGGUUUGCAUUGAAUGUGAUCAAAGGAGCAGUAUGGUUCUUUUUCAAAAUUGAUUCAUAAAAUUUUAGCGUGAAUUUUUCGUUUUGCUGUUGUAGUUAACUUUGUAAUUGCAUGAAUAAAUUAUUGGUAGUAGUUAACUUUGUAACUGCAGGAAAGAAAUAUGUAGCGCAUGUACUUGUUUUAAUAUUCAAAUCUUUAAUCUACUGAUGCCAUGAAAUCUUUGAUAUACAAAAUAAAAUAAAGCCAUAAAAUCUUUGAUAUACAAAAUAAAAUAACACUAGGAUAGUUCUAAAUGCAUGUAAAGCAGCUCCAAAAACCCACGAAAAUGAGUUGUAACACCACGAUCCACAUCCUCCAUAGAACCAGCAGCCAAACCAUGUUGAUGAUAAUGAUGAUACAAAUUCCUAAGGUACCUAAGAAGAUCCUCCACAUCCCCACUGUAAUUUACACGCGGUUUUAUACGGGAUUUUAUAUUUUUGAUGACGACAGAUUUCUUUUGUUUUCUUGAUGGGGAGGAGUUUCUAUGGUUAUAAACACCCAACAUAAAUUUAUCCAUGUUAUUAAGGGUUGAAGUAGAGUUCCAGGAUUUGAAAAUGUCAAAAGCGGGUCUUGCCAACGCGAAUUCGACUUUUAUACCAGUUCGACCACUCCUCGUAGUUUCAUAGUGAUCAAAGAGACGCAUCCUUUUAUCAGCAUCUAACAAAAACGGAUGACCCACCACUUUUUUCACAAAUUCAUCAUAGCUGAAAGGACAAAAAGAACAAUAUCCUAUAAGAAAGAAAUGAAGUGAAAAAAAUAAAAUAAAAUAAAAUAAAAGAGAUAGACAACUCACUCCAACUUCUUGUUUCUCUUAGCACGGUUGACAAAAUCAAAGAAGUGUUGACAUUCCAGCCAACUUCUUUUGCCCCCCGCUAGUAUCGAUUCGAACCAGUUGUCCAACAUCCCUAAAAGGUCCGUAAUAUCUGCUUUCUUUUGCCACUCACGGCCGUCUUUAAAUUCAUACUCAUACAAAUCUCCCUCAAUGUUAAUUACCUUUCAGACAUUUGUCAAUAAAUACAUAAUUACUCUCCGAACCCAACCCACCAUGAUAUAACCCCUUAGAAUGUAUACGACCAACACCCUUAAUCAACUUCCUACAAACAAUACGAAGAAUUUACGUCAAAUACAAUUAAAACAAAACUAUGGCCAAUAAUUUUUACAAAAUCUAACCAAAUACUUUAAAACAACACCAUCAUUAGCUGCGGCAGUAUUUCGAAAUAUUUUUAUUGCAUCUUCUCGUCUAGCAACUUUUACAAACACCACAUCUAUCAGUUCCCCGCGAAGAUCAGAAGAUAUAUACAAACUCCCCUCAUACAAUUCUUGAGAAAUUCUAUUAUUCAACUUGAAACUGUAACAACAAAGCCCAGAACCAACGACCAUGUCCUGUGAAUUAUUGCCACGAAGCAGCAACCGUUGAAUAAAGUCAGGUAACUCUCUCAGGUAAUCCAUUUUACCGAAAAGAAUUCUUAGCAAGGAAAGUAAUCUGCAAGAAAAGAUAGAAACAAAGAAACAUUUAAUAAAACACAUUGCACCUUCUCCAGCAACUGAGAUCAAAAAGAAGAGUAAGGUAAAAAAAAAAAAAGAGUAAGGUAAAAUUUUAAUUAGCCAGCAAACAAGGUACACAUUGCAAACAGUAUCCUUAGAAAAACACAUUGAGCUCAAAAAGAAGAGUAAGGUAAAAAAAAAAAAAAAAAAAA